rnacentral:rRNA from 1 species
CCUACGGGUGGCUGCAGUGAGGAAUAUUGGUCAAUGGACGAGAGUCUGAACCAGCCAAGUAGCGUGAAGGAUGACUGCCCUAUGGGUUGUAAACUUCUUUUAUAUGGGAGUAAAAUGCUCCACGUGUGGGAUUUCGUAUGUACCAUAUGAAUAAGGAUCGGCUAACUCCGUGCCAGCAGCCGCGGUAAUACGGAGGAUUCGAGCGUUAUCCGGAUUUAUUGGGUUUAAAGGGUGCGUAGGCGGAACGGAAAGUCAGCGGUAAAAGGUCGGGGCUCAACCCCGUCGAGCCGUUGAAACUGGCGGUCUUGAGACGGCGAGAAGUACGCGGAAUGCGCGGUGUAGCGGUGAAAUGCAUAGAUAUCGCGCAGAACUCCGAUUGCGAAGGCAGCAUACCGGCGCCCGACUGACGCUGAGGCACGAAAGCGUGGGUAUCGAACAGGAUUAGAUACCCGGGUAGUC